rnacentral:rRNA from 1 species
UACGGAGGGGGCGAGCGUUAUUCGGAAUUAUUGGGCGUAAAGAGCUCGUAGGCGGCUUGUCGCGUCGACUGUGAAAUCCCGCGGCUCAACUGCGGGUCUGCAGUCGAUACGGGCAGGCUAGAGUUCGGUAGGGGAGACUGGAAUUCCUGGUGUAGCGGUGAAAUGCGCAGAUAUCAGGAGGAACACCGGUGGCGAAGGCGGGUCUCUGGGCCGAUACUGACGCUGAGGAGCGAAAGCGUGGGGAGCGAACAGG